AAGCUCAUAUUUUUAAAUCUAUAGAUCCAAAAAAAGCUCGGACAGAAAAGAAAAGAACUACCCAGUAUUAUUUGCGACAAAACCGGCAAUGGGUAUCAAAGAUCUCCUCAGGUUCAUGAAACCCCACCUUGAACCCAUCCACAUAAGAAAAUACGCCGGUUAACGAGUUGGGAUUGACGCUUAUUCAUGGCUGCACAAAGGGGCAUAUUCAUGUAGUAUGGAGCUCAGUCUGGAUAUGGAAGGUGGGAAGAAAUUGCAGUACUUAAGUUACUUCAUGCAUCGAAUCAAUUUGCUUCGACACUAUAAGAUUACUCCCGUUGUUGUUUUUGACGGUGGAAAUCUGCCUUGUAAGGCAGCCACUGAAGAUGAGAGGCACAGGAAAAGGAAAGCUAAUCGUGAUCAGGCAAUGGAAAAGUUUAAGGAAGGUGAUGUUAAUGGUGCCUCUGAGCUAUUUCAGG